rnacentral:tRNA from 1 species
GUAAAUGUAGUUUAAAACAAAACAUUAGAUUGUGAAUCUAAAAAUAGAGGCUCAUCCCCCUCCCAUUUACC